GACCUCGGAGCUUAGUUGGUAGAGCAACAUGGCGUAAACCUGAGAGACCUGGGUUCGUAUCCCAGUCGAGGUUG